rnacentral:rRNA from 1 species
CCAUGCCGCGUGAGUGAAGAAGGCCUUCGGGUUGUAAAGCUCUUUCGGCCGGGAAGAAAUCGCAUGGGUGAAUACCCUGUGUGGAUGACGGUACCGGAACAAGAAGCACCGGCUAACUACGUGCCAGCAGCCGCGGUAAUACGUAGGGGGCAAGCGUUGUCCGGAUUCAUUGGGCGUAAAGAGCUCGUAGGUGGCUCGGUAAGUCGGGUGUGAAAUUUCGAGGCUCAACCUCGAAACGCCACCUGAUACUGCUGUGGCUAGAGUCCGGUAGGGGAGCGUGGAAUUCCUGGUGUAGCGGUGAAAUGCGCAGAUAUCAGGAGGAACACCAGCGGCGAAGGCGGCGCUCUGGGCCGGUACUGACACUGAGGAGCGAAAGCGUGGGGAUCAAA